rnacentral:lncRNA from 1 species
GUGCAGUAUAGUUGAGAAUAUGCUUCUGCAGCUUGGAAAAUGAGCAGGAACACCAACUCACUCAACUAUUAUCGUAUGUAAAACAUCUUUGUAUUUGCAAUUACUGGGAGAAGUGACAGGACAGUACCCAACUGGGAAAACUGGAAGCUGCUGAAAUUAAUUAAGUGUUCCCAUGGCUUGGCUUGAAGGAUGUGAAAUGUUCCACGAAGCCAACAAGCUAGUAUCAUCAGCAAGCAGUAUUCCAGUGUUCAGAUACACACAGCCACAACUACACCAGCAGCAGUGCAAACAGGUGGUGUCUACAGCAGUGGCUUCUGGGAGCUUCCAAUUGCAGCAAUUUUUUCUGAACAAGAUCAAACGAUGCUUCUUUGCUUUAUUUGCCAGGUAAUCAUUUUUCAAAAUAUUUCUUCCCUCAUAUUAAAUGUGGUCUUUAGUCCAAAGCUUGUCAAGUUUUCUUUAAGCUAUAUUUGAAGUUAAAAACACAAGCUGUUUCUUUAUUAUUCCGAAUACAUUAUUUUUUCUCCAUUCUCAGUUUCUCAAAUCUAAAGCACUCAGAUGUCAACAGCUAUCUAGAUACCAAAAGAUAUACUGUCAUUGGUCUCACGACUUUUGCUAGAUCAUAUGCCUCAAAACACAGUCAAAUAAAAAUAAAAAGUAGUUGUUUCA